UACGUAGGGGGCAAGCGUUGUCCGGAAUUAUUGGGCGUAAAGCGCGCGCAGGCGGCCGAUUAAGUCUGGUGUUUAACCCCGGGGCUCAACCCCGGGUCGCACUGGAAACUGGUUGGCUUGAGUACAGAAGAGGAAAGUGGAAUUCCACGUGUAGCGGUGAAAUGCGUAGAGAUGUGGAGGAACACCAGUGGCGAAGGCGGCGAGCUGGAUCACUACUGACGCUGAGGAACGAAAGCUAGGGGAGCAAACAGG
rnacentral:rRNA from 1 species